ACCCUCUUUAUUUCUGAUGUUCCACUAAUCUUUCUUCUGUAGGCAUACAUUUUGGAAACUGUGGUGAGUUCAUGCAUACUUUCAUGCCUUGCAAACAUAAUACCAGAGCUGAUUAAUAAACGGUAGUGAUAGGACUCUUAUGCCGUCAGGAUUGUAAGUGCCUAUCAAGCUAACAUUCUCACUACAUUAUGCCACUAUUAUAUUCUUUGCAAUUUUAAAAGAACUGUAGAUAAUUAUUCAAGAUAUUGAAACAUUUAGUUUAUAGUUCUAUUGCUGUGGUUGUCACCUUCACUUUAUAUCAAAUUUGAGACUCAUUUCUUAAGGAUGUCUCUAUUUUCUGCUUUAUUUGCACAUUGAUAGCUUUACUGAAUGACUAGUCACAGCAACUUUUUCCUCUGAUAGCAGCAUAUUAAAAUGUGAAAGCCUAAGACUAAUCUGCUUUUCAACCACUUGAUGGAAGGGAAAUAAGAAGUUUGUUUCAAGGCUCUUGUGUCAUUCAUCAGUGCUGUUAACAAAUGUGGGGCUUGAGGAUACAUUUGCUGCUUCUCUGCAUUUUUGCUGAAGGAAGGACCUUUCUGUCUCCCAGCUCCUGUGGGCAUUAGGUUUCAUGAAUAUCUCUUGAGAAGAGGACAGCUCUGUAGAGCCUAAGUUUCAAAAAUUGCACCCAGGAGAGAAACAGUGAGAUGCACAGUGGGGAAAAUGAACCCAGCAGUACAUCCUAUCCUGUACCUGCCUGAAUAUGGGAAGAGACCUAGUACAAGGCAGAAUGCAGCGCUGGGCUUGCAGUAUUUUUAACCAUAUUAAGUCCUGUUCAGAGUUAAUGAUGAGCUCAGUGAGAUGGUCUCAGAAAUGCUGAAGAAGGGAAGGACAGAGCUGGAAGGCAGGAGCUGUUUCAAAGCAGGAUUCUUCAUCUUUCUGUAAUGCCCAAGCAUGAAGACGUUAUAAACUUCAUUAGGUAGAGUAUUGCUAAUAGUGUCCUAUCAGUAAUGUUGCAUGAUGUAAUAUGGCAUUGCUGUAUUGUUUAGUGAUCAUGUGGAGCUGCAUUAAAUAAAUGAACAUAUGCCAGUGACUUAAAUGAACA
rnacentral:lncRNA from 1 species